CCUACGGGGGGCAGCAGUGAGGAAUAUUGGUCAAUGGGCGCAAGCCUGAACCAGCCAAGUCGCGUGAGGGAUGACGGUCCUAUGGAUUGUAAACCUCUUUUGUCGGGGAGCAAGGCCCGCCACGUGUGGCGGGAAGGAGAGUACCCGAAGAAAAAGCAUCGGCUAACUCCGUCCCAGCAGCCGCGGUAAUACGGAGGUUGCGAGGGGUACCCGGAUUUAUUGGGUUUAAAGGGUGCGUAGGCGGAGGGUUAAGGCAGCGGGCAAAUGUCGGUGCUAAACCACGGACUGCCGUUGAAACUGGUCGUCGUGAGUGGGCGAGAAGUAUGCGGAAUGCGUGGUGUAGCGGUGAAAUGCAUAGAUAUCACGCAGAACGCCGAUUGCGAAGGCAGCAUACCGGCGCUCAACUGACGCUGAGGCACAAAAGCGUGGGGAGCGAACAGGAUUAGAUACCCCAGUAGUC
rnacentral:rRNA from 1 species